UACACCGUGCCAUUUGUCCUGACUAGAAGA
rnacentral:piRNA from 1 species